AUGAAGCCCAGCUUGCUGGGCGGAUUAGUGGCGAACGGGUGAGUAACACGUGAGUAACCUGCCCUUGACUCUGGGAUAAGCCCGGGAAACUGGGUCUAAUACCGGAUAGGAGCGCCUGUCGCAUGACGGGUGCUGGAAAGAUCUUUCGGUCAUGGAUGGACUCGCGGCCUAUCAGCUUGUUGGUGAGGUAACGGCUCACCAAGGCGACGACGGGUAGCCGGCCUGAGAGGGUGACCGGCCACACUGGGACUGAGACACGGCCCAGACUCCUACGGGAGGCAGCAGUGGGGAAUAUUGCACAAUGGGCGAAAGCCUGAUGCAGCGACGCCGCGUGAGGGAUGACGGCCUUCGGGUUGUAAACCUCUUUCAGCAGGGAAGAAGCGAAAAGUGACGGUACCUGCAGAAGAAGCACCGGCUAACUACGUGCCAGCAGCCGCGGUAAUACGUAGGGUGCGAGCGUUAUCCGGAAUUAUUGGGCGUAAAGAGCUCGUAGGCGGUUUGUCACGUCUGUCGUGAAAGUCCGGGGCUUAACCCCGGAUCUGCGGUGGGUACGGGCAGACUAGAGUGCAGUAGGGGAGACUGGAAUUCCUGGUGUAGCGGUGGAAUGCGCAGAUAUCAGGAGGAACACCGAUGGCGAAGGCAGGUCUCUGGGCUGUAACUGACGCUGAGGAGCGAAAGCAUGGGGAGCGAACAGGAUUAGAUACCCUGGUAGUCCAUGCCGUAAACGUUGGGCACUAGGUGUGGGGACCAUUCCACGGUUUCCGCGCCGCAGCUAACGCAUUAAGUGCCCCGCCUGGGGAGUACGGCCGCAAGGCUAAAACUCAAAGGAAUUGACGGGGGCCCGCACAAGCGGCGGAGCAUGCGGAUUAAUUCGAUGCAACGCGAAGAACCUUACCAAGGCUUGACAUGUUUUCGACCGCCGUGGAGACACGGUUUCCCCUUUGGGGCGGAUUCACAGGUGGUGCAUGGUUGUCGUCAGCUCGUGUCGUGAGAUGUUGGGUUAAGUCCCGCAACGAGCGCAACCCUCGUUCCAUGUUGCCAGCACGUAGUGGUGGGGACUCAUGGGAGACUGCCGGGGUCAACUCGGAGGAAGGUGAGGACGACGUCAAAUCAUCAUGCCCCUUAUGUCUUGGGCUUCACGCAUGCUACAAUGGCCGGUACAAUGGGUUGCGAUACUGUGAGGUGGAGCUAAUCCCAAAAAGCCGGUCUCAGUUCGGAUUGGGGUCUGCAACUCGACCCCAUGAAGUCGGAGUCGCUAGUAAUCGCAGAUCAGCAACGCUGCGGUGAAUACGUUCCCGGGCCUUGUACACACCGCCCGUCAAGUCACGAAAGUCGGUAACACCCGAAGCCGG
rnacentral:rRNA from 1 species